AAGUCGUAACAAGGUUUCCGUAGGUGAACCUGCGGAAGGAUCAUUAACAACAUAUCCUAACUAAAAAACCCUGUGAACUUUCAAUGUCCCGAACCUUUGAUCCGAGGACUUCAGCAAUCUCUGGUAAAUCAUGUCGAACGGUUUGAUUCAGAGACCUCUGGCUUGUGCGAUGACGGCGGAAGCUAAAGGUGUAAUCGAGCGCUAGGUUCAGUGGUUUGGUCUUCCCCUCAAACCACUUCAAUGAAUGUCAGUGUCAUUGAAGUGUGAUGGGGAAGUCGCUUAACGACGCUGUAGGCUCACACGAGCCGGCGUCCAAAUCACCAGGCGCAAGCCUCCCUAAAACCACAUGUCAGCGUAGGCCCUUCUGUCGUGGUUGGGCGUAAAAACGAACAACUGUUAACAAUGGAUAUCUUGGUUCUC
rnacentral:misc_RNA from 1 species